CCAGCUUCUGAAAGGAGUGGGAAAAAUAUAUAUUAAUAGAACUUACGAUCACAUAGAAGGUAACCAUCAAAUCGAGUAGUCAUUGUGUAUAAACCUCGAGUUACAGCCAUUACUAAACAUUCAAUUCCUCCAAGGACCAUUUAAGGGAGUUAUCUAUAAUCUGACAGAUUGAUUUAAAAGGCCACUAAAGCAAAACUCUAGUAACACAAUACAAUCUUCAUUCUCUAUCUCUCUGCAAAUAGCUUUAAAAAGUACUUCUGAAAAGGC
rnacentral:lncRNA from 1 species